rnacentral:rRNA from 1 species
AGUGAACGCUGGCGGUAGGCCUAAGACAUGCAAGUCGAACGGCAGCACAGUAAGAGCUUGCUCUUACGGGUGGCGAGUGGCGGACGGGUGAGGAAUACAUCGGAAUCUACUUUUUCGUGGGGGAUAACGUAGGGAAACUUACGCUAAUACCGCAUACGACCUACGGGUGAAAGCAGGGGAUCUUCGGACCUUGCGCGAUUGAAUGAGCCGAUGUCGGAUUAGCUAGUUGGCGGGGUAAAGGCCCACCAAGGCGACGAUCCGUAGCUGGUCUGAGAGGAUGAUCAGCCACACUGGAACUGAGACACGGUCCAGACUCCUACGGGAGGCAGCAGUGGGGAAUAUUGGACAAUGGGCGCAAGCCUGAUCCAGCCAUACCGCGUGGGUGAAGAAGGCCUUCGGGUUGUAAAGCCCUUUUGUUGGGAAAGAAAAGCAGCAGGUUAAUACCCCGCUGUUCUGACGGUACCCAAAGAAUAAGCACCGGCUAACUUCGUG